AACGAACGCUGGCGGCAUGCCUAACACAUGCAAGUCGAACGGAUGGUUUCGGCCAUCAGUGGCGCACGGGUGAGUAACGCGUGGGAAUCUGCCCAGCAGUGGGGGAUAACCUCUGGAAACGGAGGCUAAUACCGCAUACGCCCCUCGGGGGAAAGGCUUGCUGCUGCUGGAGGAGCCCGCGUCGGAUUAGGUAGUUGGUGGGGUAACGGCCUACCAAGCCUGUGAUCCGUAGCUGGUCUGAGAGGAUGAUCAGCCACACUGGGACUGAGACACGGCCCAGACUCCUACGGGAGGCAGCAGUGGGGAAUAUUGGACAAUGGGGGCAACCCUGAUCCAGCCAUGCCGCGUGAGUGAAGAAGGCCUUCGGGUUGUAAAGGCUCUUUUCGGCCGGGAAGAAAUCGCAUGGGCUAAUACCCUGUGCGGAUGACGGUACCGGCAUAAGAAGCACCGGCUAACUACGUGCCAGCAGCCGCGGUAAGGCUACGUAGA
rnacentral:rRNA from 1 species